rnacentral:rRNA from 1 species
UACGUAGGUGGCAAGCGUUGUCCGGAUUUAUUGGGUUUAAAGGGUGCGUAGGCGGUCUUAUAAGUCAGUGCUGAAAUAUCCCGGCUUAACCGGGGAGGGUGGCAUUGAUACUGUAGGACUUGAGUAGAGUUGAGGUUGGCGGAAUUGACGGUGUAGCGGUGAAAUGCUUAGAUAUCGUCAAGAACACCGAUAGUGAAGACAGCUUACUAAACUUUAACUGACGCUGAGGCACGAAAGUGUGGGGAUCAAACAGG